ACCCACUUUCAGAUGCUCAUGCCGGAAGAAACAAGGGGGAAAUACUGGAAAAAUAGUUGCAAUCGGGAUGAACAAGGCUUUUGUAAAAGAGAAGGCGUCUGAGA